GUCGAGCGGGGGAAUUGCUUCGGUAAUUGACCUAGCGGCGGACGGAAGGUCGUCUUUGGAAUCUGCCUAUUAAUGGGGGACAAAGUGAAAGGGAUGCUAAUACCGCAUACGCCCUACGGGGGAAAGCAGGGGAUCACUUGUGACCUUGCGUUAAUAGAUGAGCCUAAGUCGGAUUAGCUAGUUGGUGGGGUAAAGGCCUACCAAGGCGACGAUCUGUAGCGGGUCUGAGAGGAUGAUCCGCCACACUGGGACUGAGACACGGCCCAGACUCCUACGGGAGGCAGCAGUGGGGAAUAUUGGACAAUGGGGGGAACCCUGAUCCAGCCAUGCCGCGUGUGUGAAGAAGGCCUUAUGGUUGUAAAGCACUUUAAGCGAGGAGGAGGCUCUCUUGGUUAAUACCCAAGAUGAGUGGACGUUACUCGCAGAAUAAGCACCGGCUAACUCUGUGCCAGCAGCCGCGGUAAUACAGAGGGUGCGAGCGUUAAUCGGAUUUACUGGGCGUAAAGCGUGCGUAGGCGGCUU
rnacentral:rRNA from 1 species